CCUACGGGAGGCUGCAGUGGGGAAUAUUGCACAAUGGGGGAAACCCUGAUGCAGCGACGCCGCGUGAGUGAAGAAGUAUUUCGGUAUGUAAAGCUCUAUCAGCAGGGAAGAAAACAGACGGUACCUGACUAAGAAGCCCCGGCUAACUACGUGCCAGCAGCCGCGGUAAUACGUAGGGGGCAAGCGUUAUCCGGAAUUACUGGGUGUAAAGGGUGCGUAGGUGGCAUGGUAAGUCAGAAGUGAAAGCCCGGGGCUUAACCCCGGGACUGCUUUUGAAACUGUCAUGCUGGAGUGCAGGAGAGGUAAGCGGAAUUCCUAGUGUAGCGGUGAAAUGCGUAGAUAUUAGGAGGAACACCAGUGGCGAAGGCGGCUUACUGGACUGUCACUGACACUGAUGCACGAAAGCGUGGGGAGCAAACAGGAUUAGAUACCCUAGUAGUC
rnacentral:rRNA from 1 species